AUUGAACGCUGGCGGCAGGCCUAACACAUGCAAGUCGAACGAGUGGCGGACGGGUGAGUAAUGUCUGUGAAACUGCCUGAUGGAGGGGGAUAACUACUGGAAACGGUAGCUAAUACCGCAUACCAUCGGAUGUGCCCAGAUGGGAUUAGCUAGUAGUUGGGGUAAAGGCUCACCUAGGCGACGAUCCCUAUCUGGUCUGAGAGGAUGACCAGCCAAACUGGAACUGAGAAAAGGGUCAGACUCCUACGGGAGGCAGCAGUGGGGAAUAUUGGACAAUGGGCGCAAGCCUGAUGGAGCCAUGACGCGUGUAUGAAGAAGGCCUUCGGGUUGUAAAGUACUUUCAGCGGGGAUGCGUUACCCGCAGAAGAAGCACCGGCUAACUCCGUGCCAGCAGCCGCGGUAAUUC
rnacentral:rRNA from 1 species